CAGCGAUGGCGGUGGAGCGCGGACUGGUCAUGGCCACCUGCACGGCCCCCGUGAACAUCGCCGUCAUCAAAUACUGGGGCAAGCGUGACACCGACCUCAUCCUGCCCAUCAACUCCUCCCUGAGCGUGACGCUGCACCAGGACCAGCUCAAGACCACCACGACAGCGGCCGCCAGCCGGGAUUUCACCGAGGACCGGCUGUGGCUCAACGGGAAGGAGGCGGACGUGGGGCACCCACGGGUCCAGGCCUGUCUGCGCGAGGUGCGACGCCUGGCCCGGAAGCGCCGCGGGGGCGGGGAGGACACGGCUGCGCUCAGCCUUUCCUACAAAAUCCACAUCGCCUCUGAGAACAACUUCCCCACGGCCGCCGGGCUCGCCUCGUCCGCCGCCGGCUAUGCCUGCCUGGUGUCGGCGCUGGCCCGGCUGUAUGGGCUGGAGGAGGAGCUGUCCGAGGUGGCCCGGCGGGGCUCGGGCAGUGCCUGUCGCAGCAUGUUCGGGGGCUUCGUGCAGUGGCAGCGUGGGGAGCGCCCCGAUGGCACCGAUAGUCUGGCCCUCCAGGUGGCCCCCGAGACUCACUGGCCGGAGCUCCGUGUCCUUGUCCUGGUGGUGAGUGGGGAGAAGAAGCCGGUGGGCAGCACGGUGGGGAUGCAGACCAGUGUGGAGACCAGUCCCCUGCUGAAGCACCGGGCAGAGGUGGUGGUCCCCAAGCGCCUGGCCCAGAUGAUGCAGCACAUCCAGGAGCGGGACUUUGAGGGUUUUGGCCAGCUGGCCAUGAGGGACAGCAACCAGUUCCACGCCACCUGCCUCGACACCUUCCCGCCCAUCUUCUACCUCACGGACCUGUCACGCCAAAUCAUCGCGCUGGCACAUCGCUACAACGCCCACCACGGCCACACCAAGGUCGCCUACACCUUCGACGCCGGCCCCAACGCCGUCAUCUUCGCGCUGGCCGACACCGUGGCUGAGUUUGUGGAGGUGGUGAGGCGCAGCUUCCCCCCUGCCACCAAUGGGGACCAGUUUGUCCGGGGGCUGCCCGUGGGCUCGGCCACGCUGUCACAGGAGCUGGUGGCUGCCGUGGUCACUGAGCCUGUGCCAGGGGCUGUCCAGUACAUCCUGCACACCAAGCCUGGCCCUGGUCCCCAGCUCGUGGAUGACCCCAGCCAGCACCUCCUGGGAGCGGAUGGGCUGCCCCGGAGCCGUGCCUGACCCCGGUGACAUUCUGGAACAGCCAGGACACACCGGGGGAACUCUGCUGGUGCCACCAGCAGGCCUCAGGACCCUGAGCCACGCCUGCUGCAAAGCUGUCCCCAGCCCUGGGGCAGCAUGUGACCCCGGGGCUGGCUUUUUAAUCUUUUGACUGAUCCCGUCCCCAUCCUUCAAAUGUUCCAGCUGCUGGGACCGAUCCUGUUCCCCGGCAUGGCCCCCGAUG